CCACAAGCAACUGUCCGUGAGCAACUGUUAGAGGUCCUGCCCAGUCAUUGGUCAGUGCCGUAGUGGGCCCUGCCCACUAGCAACCAACCGUCAAGAAAUGAUGGUUAGUGAGGAGAUUCAGACAACAGUGGAGCGGUGGUUGUGAGGUGAAGAGUGAGGUAAGAGGUAGUUCUCGGCCUCCGUCAGGCCCUCCAGUUCAUCCAGCCUUGAACCCGUGGGUGAGCUGGGGGACCUAGAGAAUAGGCUGAGGGCUGUGUCCUGCAGGGCUCCAGAGCCCUCACCAAGGGUUGCCCAGGCCUCGAGGUGGCCGUGAGACCUUCCCCCAUCCCCGUCUCUGUGACCUAAUAGUAGAAGUCUGCCUGGGUCGCCUUCUGUGGGACCUGGUCUCCCCACACUUUGGGCGGCCUGAGGAGCCUGAGGGGCCAGUUGGGUCCUGGAUGCCUGGCUCCUUCAGAGAUGACAGCUGAGCAAGGUCUGGUGAGCUAGCCCUGAGGGAGCCGCCAGCCAAGCUCUGCUUUCUGUUAGCCAGGAUGGGGACCUCGGAGGAUGAUACUUUGUCUUGGGACCCCGUCCUUUCUUGUCAGGAUGGAGAAUAACAUUCUAAGAAAAGGGCUUUGCUGAGAGCUUUCAGAGUCAGACCGGACUGAAGCGACUUAGCAGCAGCAGCAGCAACAGGGCACGAAUCAUCCAUCUCCUGGCACAACCCUGUAAUAAAUCAUUAUUUGUUCCAAACUCCACUGUUUAAGUGUUUUUUAGCCUCACUGUGUGUUGAGCACAUGGACUUACGUUUUGGUAACAAUUUUAGAUGAAUUCCUCACAAUUUCAAAGAUGACCAGUGAAGUUUUUAUAUGUUUUUUGGUUUGAUAUCAUUGUGAAUGAAUGGAUUUUCACCUAUUUGACAUACCUUAAUUUGUUACUCUUUUAUUAAUGUUCAGACUGUCCCAUCCUUGGUCAGUGGAAACUGCUUCAGUUUGUCAGAAUCCUUGGUUAUCGCCAUAAUCUUAAAUAGCUUCCUCAACUUCUAGUAUUAUAGGAUGGCUAAGCUUCUCUAGUGUAUUUCC
ensembl:lncRNA